rnacentral:rRNA from 1 species
AUUGAACGCUGGCGGCAGGCUUAACACAUGCAAGUCGAGCGGGGGAAGGUAGCUUGCUACCGGACCUAGCGGCGGACGGGUGAGUAAUGCUUAGGAAUCUGCCUAUUAGUGGGGGACAACAUCUCGAAAGGGAUGCUAAUACCGCAUACGUCCUACGGGAGAAAGCAGGGGAUCUUCGGACCUUGCGCUAAUAGAUGAGCCUAAGUCGGAUUAGCUAGUUGGUGGGGUAAAGGCCUACCAAGGCGACGAUCUGUAGCGGGUCUGAGAGGAUGAUCCGCCACACUGGGACCGGGACACGGCCCAGACUCCUACGGGAGGCAGCAGUGGGGAAUAUUGGACAAUGGGGGGAACCCUGAUCCAGCCAUGCCGCGUGUGUGAAGAAGGCCUUAUGGUUGUAAAGCACUUUAAGCGAGGAGGAGGCUACUUUAGUUAAUACCUAGAGAUAGUGGACGUUACUCGCAGAAUAAGCACCGGCUAACUCUGUGCCAGCAGCCGCGGUAA